UUGGUGAGGAGUCCUCACAAAUCGCACCGUGCGCGCUUAGAGCAAGUCUCGAAUCAGCCUUAGCUCAGUAUUCUAGAGGACUGCAUCCAGCAGAAAGUUAAAGUGGAGUGGAGGUAUAGAGUUACAAAUGUUUCUGUCUCAGUGAGGGAGCAUGUGAAUAUUUCAGUCAGUGAUCGUUAGACAGUUAGUUAGAUGGGUAGUUAGAUGGGUAGUUAGAUAGUUAGUUAGAUGGGUAGUUAGUUAGUUAGAUGGGUAGUUAGAUGGUUAGUUAGAUGGGUAGUUAGAUGGUAGUUAUAUAGUUAGUUAGAUGGGUAGUUAGUUAGUUAGAUGGAUAGUUAGAUGGGUAGUUAGAUGGUAGUUAUAUAGUUAGUUAGAUGGGUAGUUAGAUGGGUAGUUAGAUAGUUAGAUGGGUAGUUAGUUAGUUAGAUGGAUAGUUAGAUGGGUAGUUAGAUGGGUAGUUAGAUGGGUAGUUAGUUAGUUAGAUGGAUAGUUAGAUGGGUAGUUAGAUGGUAGUUAUAUAGUUAGUUAGAUGGGUAGUUAGUUAGUUAGAUGGAUAGUUAGAUGGUUAGUUAGAUGGGUAGUUAGUUAGUUAGAUGGUUAGUUAGAUGGGUAGUUAGAUAGUUAGUUAGAUGGAUAGUUAGAUGGGUAGUAAGAGUUAGAUAUUUAGCUAGAUGAGUAGUUAUUUAGUCAGAUGGGUAGUUAGUUAGUUAGAUGGAUAGUUAGAUGGGUAGUUAGAUGGUUAGUUAGAUGGGUAGUUAGUUAGUUAGAUGGAUAGUUAGAUGGUAGUUAUAUAGUUAGUUAGAUGGGUAGUUAGUUAGUUAGAUGGAUAGUUAGAUGGGUAGUUAGAUGGUUAGUUAGAUGGGUAGUUAGAUGGGUAGUUAGUUAGUUAGAUGGAUAGUUAGAUGGUAGUUAUAUAGUUAGUUAGAUGGGUAGUUAGUUAGUUAGAUGGAUAGUUAGAUGGGUAGUUAGAUGGUAGUUAUAUAGUUAGUUAGAUGGAUAGUUAGAUAGUUAGUUAGAUGGGUAGUUAGUUAGUUAGAUGGAUAGUUAGAUGGGUAGUUAGAUGGGUAGUUAGAUGGUAGUUAUAUAGUUAGUUAGAUGGGUAGUUAGAUAGUUAGUUAGAUGGAUAGUUAGAUGGGUAGUAAGAGUUAGAUAUUUAGCUAGAUGAGUAGUUAUUUAGUCAGAUCGAUAGUUAGUUAGUUAGUUAGAUGGGUAGAUUAGUACUAUUUGUUUUUGGCUCAAAUGCGCUUCCUGUACUUCUUCAGUGUUUCAGAGUUACAGAAUUGUUUUGGUUUUGGCUGAACUGCUUUCUUUCACAUGAUUGUUUGCUCCUGAGUGCCAGAAAAGCGUUCGCCCUUUUAUCGAGAGAAGCCACGUA